GCGGUGGCGGGUGCUAUACAUGCAGUCGAACGCACAGCGAAAGGUGCUUGCACCUUUCAAGUGAGUGGCGAACGGGUGAGUAACACGUGGACAACCUGCCUCAAGGCUGGGGAUAACAUUUGGAAACAGAUGCUAAUACCGAAUAAAACUUAGUGUCGCAUGACACAAAGUUAAAAGGCGCUUCGGCGUCACCUAGAGAUGGAUCCGCGGUGCAUUAGUUAGUUGGUGGGGUAAAGGCCUACCAAGACAAUGAUGCAUAGCCGAGUUGAGAGACUGAUCGGCCACAUUGGGACUGAGACACGGCCCAAACUCCUACGGGAGGCUGCAGUAGGGAAUCUUCCACAAUGGGCGAAAGCCUGAUGGAGCAACGCCGCGUGUGUGAUGAAGGCUUUCGGGUCGUAAAGCACUGUUGUAUGGGAAGAACAGCUAGAAUAGGAAAUGAUUUUAGUUUGACGGUACCAUACCAGAAAGGGACGGCUAAAUACGUGCCAGCAGCCGCGGUAAUACGUAUGUCCCGAGCGUUAUCCGGAUUUAUUGGGCGUAAAGCGAGCGCAGACGGUUUAUUAAGUCUGAUGUGAAAGCCCGGAGCUCAACUCCGGAAUGGCAUUGGAAACUGGUUAACUUGAGUGCAGUAGAGGUAAGUGGAACUCCAUGUGUAGCGGUGGAAUGCGUAGAUAUAUGGAAGAACACCAGUGGCGAAGGCGGCUUACUGGACUGCAACUGACGUUGAGGCUCGAAAGUGUGGGUAGCAAACAGGAUUAGAUACCCUGGUAGUCCACACCGUAACGAUGAACACUAGGUGUUAGGAGGUUUCCGCCUCUUAGUGCCGAAGCUAACGCAUUAAGUGUUCCGCCUGGGGAGUACGACCGCAAGGUUGAAACUCAAAGGAAUUGACGGGGACCCGCACAAGCGGUGGAGCAUGUGGUUUAAUUCGAAGCAACGCGAAGAACCUUACCAGGUCUUGACAUCCUUUGAAGCUUUUAGAGAUAGAAGUGUUCUCUUCGGAGACAAAGUGACAGGUGGUGCAUGGUCGUCGUCAGCUCGUGUCGUGAAGAUGUUGGGUUAAGUCCCCGCAACGGAGGCGCAACCCAUAAUG
rnacentral:rRNA from 1 species